GUGCUCACUUCAGUAGCACACAUACAAAAAUUGGAACAAUACAGAAAAGAUUAGCAUGGCCCUGUGCAAGGAUGACACAGAAAUUCGUGAAGUGCUUCAUAUUAAA